GACAGAGGCCUCAAGCGUUAGGCGGAAUCACUGGGCUUAAAGCGUGUGUAGGCGGCCCUGCAAGUCGGAUGUGAAAUCCCACGGCUCAACCGUGGAAGUGCAUUCGAAACUGCAGGGCUAGAGUCCUGGAGAGGAAGGUGGAAUGCUUGGUGUAGAGGUGAAAUUCGUAGAUAUCAAGCGGAACACCGGUGGCGAAGGCGGCCUUCUGGACAGUGACUGACGCUGAGACGCGAAAGCGUGGGGAGCAAACAGG
rnacentral:rRNA from 1 species